rnacentral:lncRNA from 1 species
UUUUUUUUUUUUGUCGUAACCACACAUUGCCUCAGUUCGUCGCUGGUACGAGCGCGAGGCGCACGGAAUCGUUCCGUUUCGGUCUCUCUUCUCGCAGUGGAAUUUGGGCCUGGCGUGCAAUUGGGCUGGGAUUUUAGCCCAUCUGUCGAUCGUCGCGUGGAGGCUACUAUACAUACAGUACACGUACACGCGUAUGACAACGACAUUAGUACCGUAUCGUUGUCCUACUCUCAGCGAACCAGCCUCAAAUAAGCGCGUCGCGGCCCACCAUUCGGGGUUGGUAGGAGGGCAAAGAUGGGCCUGAGCAGACGUUGUUAAAAGCGCGGCCCGGGUUAGACUAGUAGUGGGCUCUCUUGUGGCCCAUUUCGAUGACGGUCACCCGAAACUAAUGGGCCCCUCCCACGCAGCUGGCUGGGCUCCUGCCGUGGAGCCUGCUUUACGUGGGGCAGCGUUGGUCUCGGCCCACCCCUCCUUCCAACUCCACCCCCCAAAUUUUUUGUUUUUCCUACCAGACUCUGUUAGAGAUCUCUCUUCCUCUAAAAAAUACAUGUUAUAAAUCUCUUCGUUCAUUGUUGGUAUAGAUACUACAAUUCAGAAAGGAUCGCAAGUCAUUUCCUUUCAGUUAAACUACUUCAUCAGGAUGCUACAGAUGACUGCUGCAGGCAGUCGUUCGUUGUCACAGCUUAAUUUUGUAAUGUUGUCACAGGAGGGGAUCUGCGCAUCACUCAGCUCGACUCCUCUUCAUUAGCUUGGCAAUUGACGAGUUAGAGGCACCUUGGUCACCGUGAGACUUUUUUCUCCGUGACAUGUUUGAGGGUUUCCCUCUUGAAGGGUUGGAAUCAAGGCGACUCGACGCAUAAGCUUCUCCCAUCCUCUUUCUGCACUCUUUGCUUGCAGUCUCAUGAUCAACCACUGUAAAACCAAAAGAGUGUUCAAAGGUGCAUUAAUUAUUUCUAACUACGUCUUCAGAUAGUGUUCCUUUUACCUGGUUUCGGGUAGUCUUUGCCAAUAAUACAUUUGGCUUUCUUCUGGAUGCUAAGGGGAGCAGUCCAAGGCUCGUAAAUGUACUCCCUCGGCAUGUCUAAAUUAAUAGAAUAUAGCAUUGUGCAAAAGAAAAAUGUUUAGUUCUCUUUGUCCAAAAAAAUGCUUUCUUCCGGUCAGAUUAACCCCGAAAAAAGUGAUCCAAAAAUGGAUUUGGCCUAAAGUUUCAGGAUAUGUCCGACCAAAGAUUUUACCCACCCAAUAGUAAAAUCCAGCAAAUAAAGCAAAAACGGAGUUCUGACUUCAGAAGUACCUUUCAGCGCUGGAAUGAAAUGUCUGAUGUAGUUCCCAUUAGGAUCAUACUUCUUUCCAAAUGUAAUGGGGGAGUAAAUUCUGUGGUACUGUUUUAUAAGAUUGAAGUAAAGUAAGCAAACUAUUAGGCUGAACAAAAAUGUCCAUAACCAAUGCCAUCUGAAGGAUAUGCGUUGUCUAACCUGAUAGAAGAAGGAUGAGCAAGACAACCACAGCCAAUUGCCAUUGUUAAUGGCCCAGUCAGAGUCAAUCAGUAGCCUUUCAAAGACAUCACGACCUUUCUCCCAGUGGAUAAACUUUAAACGGAAAGUUAAGAAGUUCGUCAUGAGAAACACCAGGUAGAUUGGAAUUAGGCUUUGAAAAUUACUUUAGGUACGUAAUGUCAUUGUCCACAAAUCUUUAAAAAAUGUCAAUGUCCUUAUAAAAAUUUGUUAUGCAACUAAAUGGUUUUAAGAUUCCACCAGCACAAUACUCCAAUGAAUGGCUCAUCAAAACAAUCCAAAACCCAUAUUUUCUAAUUGAAGAGAUUAAUGUAGCAAAAUGGCCAAUUCUCAUGGACUUCCUGUUUCCUUUAGAAAAAUUACAAAGUUGCCAAAAGACCAAAUUUUAAAUUACAAACAUGUAUGUUCUAUCAAGAAGGUUUAAGUAAAACUACGCAAAAAGAAAAGGGACCAAACUAGGCAUAGAAUUCCCAGCAGAGUUUCUUAUCCGAAGCAAGUUUCAUAUAUAAUACCAGAUCACCACGCGUCAGGAAACAAGCAACUGAAUGGCGUGCAAGGUGAUGCAUCCAGCCCCACUUCCUCAGCUAGCAGACAGUACACGAAAAGAACAUUAUCACAUAAACACAUACUCUGGUAGUUAUGUGUGCUGCAAUUAAAGUAACAGAAAACAGAACAAGGAGCAAAGUGCCCUAUUCUUGCGAAGUUCACUAGAGAGAACCUGAAUCAUGAUAGCAUCAAUCCAUGGAUACCCUGUCCGGCUGUCUCUCCAUGCAACAAAUAGCUCCUCAUUCUCACUCCAUGGAAUCUAAACUAAAUGGGAUUAAGUUACAACUAUGCUCGUGAAAUGGCAUCAGUGUAUAGGAUAUGGUUCGAAGGAAGCAAACCUGCUUGCAUAUUUUGUUUCCUUUCAUCUGAUCAAAAUUAGGAGUCCCAAAAGACACUGUGUAGAAGAAGUCUCGCCACAGCAACUGUUACAAGAACAAGAGUCAUGCACUCAGAUCCACCUUAUAAUAAGUCGUGCAGCCUGAUUUUUCCUUCAAGCCCAAUAAAUGCAAUUACAAAUCACCUGGCCUGUCAAUGAAACAGGUGGUUUUGUAUAAUUUCUGACACUCCUGUAGACAUCCUGAAUGCAGUGGUAAAAAUAUCUGGACGACAGGCAGCCAAACUGCAACAUGACAAUCCGUCUCAACACUGCAAUCUAAGAUAAAUGGGGAAGAACAACUACCUGCACCGGGUCAGUGACAAAACUCACCUUGAGAUAUGGUGACAAAACAGUUGUUGCAGGUUUGAGGAAGGCAGAUGGGUCACCCUUAGGUUUCUCAAACUUGGCAACCCAUUCCUACAGAAACAAAAGAAAAUCACAGAGAGAUCAAUUGUACAAACUUUAAAAAAAGAGAUCAAUUGUACAAACAGCUAACAAAAACCAAUGGAUGAAUUGAAUCAGGAUAUGCCAUUCCAGAAGCACCCCACCUUAUUUUCAAGUGAUUCUUUCAUUCUCCUCAGAGCUUCUGUCUCACCUCCUCGGAAUGGCGGAAUCUCCUCCUGCAAAUGGCCAUCCAGCAGUUCAAGCCCCAUCGAGCAGCAACUGAAACACUACUUCUUUGGACCAAUCUUGACUCCGCUCGUACCUGGCUGAUAUCCCCAUACCCAAGCUCCUCCACUGUGGGCACGGGCAACAACUCAUACUCUCCCGUGUCUCCAACCGGUGGGAGUUCAGAGUACUCCUCCAUAAGAGGCUCAGGUGGUUCCCCAGCAAUGGCGAUGAACGAUUGGUACGUCAAAGGCGGCCGACCACCGUUCUGCAAAUGGGCAAAACAAAAAUCAGGUAAGCGGUGAACUCCAAACAUUUGGCCCUGACUUCACUGGUAGUCUGGUACCCGCUAACGAGUGUAUACUAAGAGUAAGAGUGUUCGAGCACGAGUACCUUGUUUAUGAUUUCUGCUGGGUCGAAGAGGGUGUGGCUGACUGGCGUGAACACCUCGAUCCCCGAAGCCAUCGCAAAAUCCUACACGAAAAAAAAAUCUUCAUCGGAUAAGAACUUGUAAGAAAACUACUCGAGAUAAGCGAUCAUGAGCAGAUGAGACUCACCGUGACUUUCUUGUCGCGGACCAGCGCGUACGGCUCAGUGUCGGACUCGAAGCACAGCUUGCCGAUGUUCCACUGCGAUGCAAUUGUAAGUAUGUGCGAUGUACCCGAUGGACGAAGAGAAAAUCCGUUAAAUUUGCAUCGGUCGCGGUGGAGAUGGGCGGAUGCUUACGUCCUUGAGGGCGGCGCAGACGGCGUCGGCGACGUCGUCGCGGGCGCGGAGGAGGAGGAGGCGGGAGCCGAGGCGGCGGAGGCGGGCGUCGAGGUCGCCGAGGCUCUCGAGGAGGAAGCGGACGCGGGCGACCCCGGCGCGCGCGGAGCCCGGGGACGCCGCGGCGGGGUCCGGGCGGAGGUACCGCGGGUCGAGCACGAACACCGGGUACAACCGCCCGGCCCCGCGGCGGGCCGCGUCGAGCGCCGGGUUGUCGUGCACGCGCAGCCCCUUCCGGAACCACACCAUCGCCGCCGCCGUCGCGGCGGUUGCGGCCUCCAUCGCGGCGGGUGCUAUUGCCUGGUUGGGCGUUGGGACGCUCGGAAAGUCAGAAUUGGGGAAUUUUGCCGGCGUCGGAGUGGAGAGAGGGCGCCGGCCGUUGAUGGGCGACUGGGCGGCGGAGGUUUGAACAAGGGAGGUAACCGUAGCGAGUGGCGCGGGGACUGGCCACGUCGGUUUCCUUUUGGCCGUUCCAGUCGUGCCACACGGGAUCCGGUGCGGCUACUUGGACUGCUAGGCCAGAGUGCGGCAGACAAGAGGGAAAACAAAGCCAGCGUACUAGAACAUUCACCUUCCCAAAACCGCAAAAUUAAUGCGUUGCAAGCUGUAUCCAUGCACCAGAUUUAGGCAAUGCAAGGUAACACACUGAAAACAGCUCGGCUCCACAAGACAAAACACAAGUAUACAAGCACACGUUACAUAAAAAACAGUCGGUAUUUGUCUAAAGAACAUCCGGGGAAAUGCAAAAGGAAUAAUGGCAUCCAAGAACAAGAUAUUAUUAUGAUUCUCAUUUGAUUCCACCGACGAAUAGAAACCGUGCAACAUGUUCUACAAAAACAUAUGCUAGGCACAGAUUAUUUGUCUGAAGACAACUGAACCGCAUCCAAGAUCAUCAUCCCAAACAACAUAUGCAACACUCUACAGCCAUAACACCACCAGGGGCUCCUCAAGUAUCAAAACGGCUUCUCUACCGACUACCAGUAGC